UACAGAGGGGGCAAGCGUUGUUCGGAAUUACUGGGCGUAAAGGGCGCGUAGGCGGCCUUCUAAGUCGAACGUGAAAUCCCCGGGCUCAACCCGGGAACUGCGUCCGAUACUGGUGGGCUUGAAUCCGGGAGAGGGAUGCGGAAUUCCAGGUGUAGCGGUGAAAUGCGUAGAUAUCUGGAGGAACACCGGUGGCGAAGGCGGCAUCCUGGACCGGCAUUGACGCUGAGGCGCGAAAGCUAGGGGAGCAAACGGG
rnacentral:rRNA from 1 species